UCAAGUGUAGUAUCUGUUCUUAUCAGUUUAAUAUCUGAUACGUGGUUCAUAGAACCACAUGAUAUUAAAUGUAUUUUUCUAGGGGGAGGGCCCACUCACAAUAGCUUGGGCGUCGCUUGUGCAUUGCACUAUAACACCAGCCUGGCGCACCCCAA
rnacentral:snRNA from 1 species